rnacentral:rRNA from 1 species
AUGUCAAUGCCAAUUGAAUCAAUGUUAUUAGCUAUCAAUUUGAGCUUUUUGGUAUUUUCCGUUUCUUUGGAUGAUAUGAUGGGUCAAUCAUUUGCUUCAUUAGUUCCAACAGUGGCAGCUGCGGAAUCUGCUAUUGGAUUAGCCAUUUUCGUUAUUACUUUUCGAGUCCGAGGGACUAUUGAUGUCGAAUCUAUAAAUUGCAUUCAAGGUUAA